rnacentral:pre_miRNA from 1 species
AAUAACUUUCGUUUUUAGUUUUUUCGUCAACGUUUUCAUCAUUCAUUUUAUUUGAUUUUUUUAUAAUUAAUAUUUUUAUUAUUACUAGAUGAUAAAAUAUAAAUAAUAAUUUAUAUGUGAUUAAUUUUUUUAAGCUUUUGUACAAAAUUUUCAAAUAAGACGAAUGUUCAAACGUUGGAUAUGAAAAAAC